ACGGGACUUCGAAUCGCAGAACUC
rnacentral:siRNA from 1 species